GAAAUUUAAGGGCGGAACAGGCAGCCGCCGCCACGUGUUUUACACGGUAGGAGAUGCAGAUUGCCACCUGCUAAAUUUC
rnacentral:ncRNA from 12 species